rnacentral:rRNA from 1 species
GACGAACGCUGGCGGCGUGCUUAACACAUGCCAGUCGAACGGAAAGGCCCUGCUUUUGUGGGGUGCUCGAGUGGCGAACGGGUGAGUAACACGUGAGUAACCUGCCCUUGACUUUGGGAUAACUUCAGGAAACUGGGGCUAAUACCGGAUAGGAGCUCCUGCUGCAUGGUGGGGGUUGGUAAGUUUAGGCGGUUGGGGGUGGACUCGCGGCUUAUCAGCUUGUUGGUGGGGUAGUGGCUUACCAAGGCUUGGCGAGGUGGCCGGGCUGAGAGGGUGACAGGCCACACUGGGAUUGAGAUACGGCCCAGCCCACUAUGGGACGCAGGGGUGGAGAAGGGUGCACAAUGGGAUGAAGGCUGAUGUAGCAACGCCGUGUGGGGGGUGACGUGCAGCGGGUAGUAUAGUGCUUCCGUCUGUGACGAAGCGAGAGUGACGGUAAUGGGUAAAGAAGCGCCGGCUAACUACGUG